AUUGAACGCUGGCGGCAUGCCUUACACAUGCAAGUCGAACGGCAGCACGGGAGCAAUCCUGGUGGCGAGUGGCGAACGGGUGAGUAAAGUAUCGGAAAGUGCCCAGUCGUGGGGGAGAACGUAGAGAAAGUUACGCUACUACCGCAUACGAUCUAUGGAGGAAAGCGGGGGAUAGCAAGACCUAGCGCGAUAGAAGCGGCCGAUAUUAGAUUAGGUAGUUGGUGGGGUAAAGGCUCACCAAGCCGACGAUCUGUAGCUGGUCUGAGAGGACGACCAGCCACACUGGGACUGAGACACGGCCCAUACUCCUACGGGAGGCAUCAGUGGGGAAUUUUGGACAAUGGGCGAAAGCCUGAUCCAGCCAUGCCGCGUGCAGGAUGAAGGCCUUCGGGUUGUAAACUGCUUUUGUACGGAACGAAAAGGUUUGGCCUAAUAAGCUGAGCUCAUGACGGUACCGUAAGAAUAAGCACCGGCUAACUACGUGCCAGCCGCCGCCGUAA
rnacentral:rRNA from 1 species